GGGAGCAAAGAUCGCGAGGUGGGCGUUCGCUGCACCGUCAUCAGCGGCGGCGACAGGGCGGCGGCGGCGGCGGCGGCGGCGGAGAGCGGCCACUGGAAGCACAAGAGCUAGCUACUAAGCUCGAUGAAGCAGAUCGAGUUGCUGUGGCAAGAGGUUCGAGACCUGAGCCUCGGCAACGCCUCCUCCGUCCGCCGCCUCGACUCGCCCCCGGCGCCGCUCGAGUUCCUCCGCGACUUCGUCUCUCCCAACAAGCCCUGCCUCGUCUCCGGAGCCGCCACCGCUCACUGGCCGGCCACCGCCCUCUGGCGCGACCGCGCGCACCUCGCUCGCGCCCUCGCUUCCUCCUCCGUCACCGUCCACCUCACCCCCGACGGGCGCGCCGAUUCGCUCGUUCCGAUCGACGACUCCUCCGCCUCGCCCUCGCCCUCGCCGCCGCCGCCGCCUCUCUGCUUCGCCUCUGCGCACGCGGAGCGCGUGCCGUUCGCCGAGGCGCUGGACAUGAUCUCGAGGAGCAGCCGGGAGAGCAGUUUCGUCGCGUACGCGCAGCAGCAGAACGAUUGCUUCCGAUCGGAGUACGGUCCCCUGGCGCGCGAUUGCGAUGAGCAUGUCCCGUGGGCGAGCAAAGCCCUGGGUUCGUUGCCGGAGGCCGUGAACCUGUGGAUUGGGAAUCACUUCUCGGAGACUUCUUUCCACAAGGAUCACUACGAGAAUCUCUACGCCGUUGUCACCGGCGAGAAGCAUUUCGUGCUCCUUCCUCCGACGGAUGUUCAUCGUAUGUAUAUUAAAGAUUACCCCGCGGCGCAGUACUCGUACAUUAAGGAAACUGGGGAAUUCAAGCUGGAAGUGGAAGAACCAAUCAAGUAUGUACCUUGGUGCAGUGUCAAUCCUUAUCCUUCCCCAGAGAACUUGGAGAGCGAGAUGGCGAAGUUUCCACUGUAUUUCAAUGGUCCCAAGCCGAUCGAGUGUACGGUCAAAGCCGGGGAGAUCCUUUACUUACCAAGUAUGUGGUUUCAUCACGUUAAACAGAUUCCAGAUGACACAGGACUCACCAUUGCUGUUAAUUAUUGGUAUGAUAUGCAGUUUGAUAUGAAAUAUGCAUAUUUCAACUUCUUGCAAUCAAUCGAAUACCAACCAAUACAUGACUACACGGGGACUGAAGGAGAGUCUGAAGAUUUAUAAUCAAUCUGCAUGCUGUCGUAAAUCAGUGUCUCAAUGAGCUGUAGCCCAUAAAUUCAUCUCUGAACUUCUUAUUGUUUUUCUCUGGUUAUGGAUGGAAUCUUUAUCUGAAGCUUGGCUUGAGAUGGUUAUGAACAAGGAGACAGUUUAAACUCAAUAUCUGGGAAAAGGUCCCUGACUGUCAGCAAGUUUGAGUAAUGCUUGGGGAACAGGAUCUCAGAAUAGCCUUGCUGGUGCAUUUACUCAUUCACCAGAUUGGGUCAAAUGUUUUUCUGUCAGGGCAUCUUGAAACUGCUUAUAAUUGAAUGAUCUCCAUUGAAGUUUUCAAAGAAAUCUGAAGCUACCAAGCUGUUUAUCAGUUUUGUUACAGUCUAUAUCAAGAGGACAUCAUUGCAGAAUGACCUCCAUUGAAUUUCUUGAGGUGUUUGCACAGGAUUACUGGUCCAAAAAGCAACAGAUGGUCCAAGGCGUAUAAUAGAAUGAUUUGUGGUUCCAUAAGUA